UCCCUGGUGGUCCAGUGGUUAGGACUCUGCACUCCGAAGGCAGAGGCCCUGGGUUCGAUCCCUGGUCUGGGCA